UACGGAGGGGGCUAGCGUUGUUCGGAAUUACUGGGCGUAAAGCGCACGUAGGCGGCUUUGUAAGUUAGAGGUGAAAGCCCAGGGCUUAACCCCUGGAAUUGCCUUUAAGACUGCAUCGCUAGAAUUGUGGAGAGGUAAGUGGAAUUCCGAGUGUAGAGGUGAAAUUCGUAGAUAUUCGGAAGAACACCAGUGGCGAAGGCGACUUACUGGACACAUAUUGACGCUGAGGUGGCGAAAGCGUGGGGAGCAAACAGG
rnacentral:rRNA from 1 species